rnacentral:rRNA from 1 species
AGAACGAACGCUGGCGGCAUGCCUAACACAUGCAAGUCGAACGUGAUCCAGGCUUCGGCCUGGUGAAAGUGGCAGACGGGUGAGUAACGCGUGGGAACCUGCCCUGUGGUAGGGAAUAACCGUGGGAAACUGCGGCUAAUACCCUAUGAGUCCUUCGGGAGAAAGAUUUAUCGCCAUAGGAGGGGCCCGCGUCGGAUUAGGUAGUUGGUGGGGUAACGGCCUACCAAGCCUUCGAUCCGUAGCUGGUCUGAGAGGAUGAUCAGCCACACUGGGACUGAGAUACGGCCCAGACUCCUACGGGAGGCAGCAGUGGGGAAUAUUGGACAAUGGGGACAACCCUGAUCCAGCAAUGCCGCGUGGAUGAUGAAGGCCUUCGGGUUGUAAAGUCCUUUCGGCGGGGAAGAUGAUGACGGUACCGCAGAAGAAGCCCCGGCUAACUUCGCGCCAGCAGCCGC